rnacentral:rRNA from 1 species
ACUCCUACGGGAGGCAGCAGUGAGGAAUCUUGCGCAAUGGGGGCAACCCUGACGCAGCCACGCCGCGUGCCGGAAGACGGCCCUAUGGGUUGUAAACGGCUUUUAAUUGGGAAGAAAGUACGGGGUUUGCCCUGUAUUGACGGUACCGAUUGAAUAAGCACCGGCUAACUCCGUGCCAGCAGCCGCGGUAAUACGGAGGGUGCAAGCGUUGUCCGGAAUCAUUGGGUGUAAAGGAUGCGUAGGCUGGUGCCUAAGUCUGAGGUGAAAUCUUGCCGCUUAACGGUAAAAUGGCCUUGGAUACUGGGUAUCUUGAAUCUGACAGAGGUCGGUGGAAUUCGUAGUGUAGCGGUGAAAUGCAUAGAUAUUACGAAGAACAUCAGUGGCGAAGGCGGCCGGCUGGGUCAGUAUUGACGCUGAGGCAUGAGAGCGUGGGGAGCGAACAGGAUUAGAUACCCGUGUAGUCC